rnacentral:rRNA from 1 species
GGUUGGCAACGACCACCCCAAGCCGGAAAGUUCUCCAAACUCGGUCAUUUAGAGGAAGUAAAAGUCGUAACAAGGUCUCCGUAGGUGAACCUGCGGAGGGAUCAUU